UCGCGAAAACUUCGCAAUGGGAGCAAUCCCGACGAGGGUAUUCCAAGUGCCAACAGGAGAAGUAAGGGCCGGGUAAGACGGGUGCCAGCCGCCGCGGUAAUACCCGCGGCCCGAGUGGUGGUCGAUAUUAUUGAGCCUAAAACGUCCGUAGCCGGCCUCGCAAAUCCCUGGGUAAAUCGGCCAGCUUAACUGUCCGAAUUCCGGGGAGACUGCGAGGCUUGGGACCGGGAGAGGUCAGAGGUACUUCCAGGGUAGGGGUAAAAUCCUGUAAUCCCGGAAGGACCACCGGUGGCGAAGGCGUCUGACUAGAACGGAUCCGACGGUGAGGGACGAAGCCCUGGGGCGCAAACGGGAUUAGAUACCCCGGUAGUCCAGGGUGUAAACGCUGCGGGCUUGGUGUUGGGGGUCCUUUGAGGGCGCCCAGUGCCGGAGAGAAGUUGUUAAGCCUGCUGCUUGGGGAGUACGUCCGCAAGGAUGAAACUUAAAGGAAUUGGCGGGGGAGCACGCAACGGGAGGAGCGUGCGGUUCAAUUGGAUUCAACGCCGGACAACUCACCAGGAGCGACGGUACAUGAAGGCCAGGCUGAUGACCUUGCCUGAUUUUCCGAGAAGUAGUGCAUGGCC
rnacentral:rRNA from 1 species